rnacentral:rRNA from 1 species
GAUGAACGCUGGCGGCGUGCUUAACACAUGCAAGUCGAACGAUGAAGCCCAGCUUGCUGGGUGGAGUAGUGGCGAACGGGUGAGUAACACGUGAGUAACCUGCCCUUAACUCUGGGAUAAGCCUUGGAAACUGGGUCUAAUACCGGAUAGGAGCGUCCACCGCAUGGUGGGUGUUGGAAAGAUUUAUCGGUUUUGGAUGGACUCGCGGCCUAUCAGCUUGUUGGUGAGGUAAUGGCUCACCAAGGCGACGACGGGUAGCCGGCCUGAGAGGGUGACCGGCCACACUGGGACUGAGACACGGCCCAGACCCCUCCGGGAGGCAGCAGUGGGGAAUAUUGCACAAUGGGCGCAAGCCUGAUGCAGCGACGCCGCGUGAGGGAUGACGGCCUUCGGGUUGUAAACCUCUUUCAGUAGGGAAGAAGCGAAAGUGACGGUACCUGCAGAAGAAGCACCGGCUAACUACGCG